rnacentral:rRNA from 1 species
GAGUUUGAUCCUGGCUCAGAACGAACGCUGGCGGCAUGCCUAACACAUGCAAGUCGAACGAGACCUUCGGGUCUAGUGGCGCACGGGUGCGUAACGCGUGGGAAUCUGCCCUUGGGUUCGGAAUAACAGUUAGAAAUGACUGCUAAUACCGGAUGAUGACUUCGGUCCAAAGAUUUAUCGCCCAGGGAUGAGCCCGCGUCGGAUUAGCUAGUUGGUGAGGUAAAGGCUCACCAAGGCGACGAUCCGUAGCUGGUCUGAGAGGAUGAUCAGCCACACUGGGACUGAGACACGGCCCAGACUCCUACGGGAGGCAGCAGUGGGGAAUAUUGGACAAUGGGCGAAAGCCUGAUCCAGCAAUGCCGCGUGAGUGAUGAAGGCCUUAGGGUUGUAAACUGCUUUUGCCAGGGGAUAAAAAGUCCCUGCGGGGAAAAUUGAAGGUACCUGGUGAAUAAGCCCCGGCUAACUCCGUGCCAGCCGCCGCUGUAAC